GGAACCUGGGCCCUCCACAACCCUUCUAAAAUUUCUUUGUGUGUAUGUAUUUAGGAAAAUUUUAAAAUUAAAUUUAUAUUAUGUUAUCAUGAUAUAAAUAAUGUAAAAUAUCAUAACUAUUUAUUUCUCAUUAUAUUCAACAAAUUUUUAUAGCUUUGGCACCCUCAAAAAUUUUUUUUCUAGCUUAAAUAUACUCUUUAUGAUAUAUUUUUUUUGAAUAUAUAACACUAAUCUUUCAAAAUAUGUAGAAAAUGAGUAUAGUUAACUAUUCUCGAAUCAAUUUUAUACAUAAAAUUGCCCCCCUUGAGAAGAAAAAAAUUCUGUUUCUACCUUUGCAGCUAAGUAGACUUGACUUGUUGAAUGCAUAUGCUUGAACAUUAAACUAGUAGGGUACGCCAAAUCAAGUCCAGAAGAUGUUAAUUAUAAUAAACUUUAUAAUAAGACUUCUAUACAUUGAGGAAUAUGCUUUCUUCGCCUCAUCAUCCUUAAUGAGCUUCUCAUUUCGAUUUAAAGGAGUUGCCACAGACUUGCAAUUGUACAUGUUGAAUUUUUUUAGCACACCUAGAGCAUAUUUCUUUUUAGUAAUGAAAAUUCCUUCAUCCUCUUAAUUAACAUCUAGACCCAAGAAAUACUUCGUGAUUCCCAAAUUUGACAUCUCAAAUUUUAGUUGCAUAUCCCUGUUGAAUUCAUUUACAAACUUAUGAUCACUUCCAACCACAAGCACAUAAUCUUGCAUUUGCAUUUCUGCCACUCAUCUUAUGUGUAUGUUGUACUUUAGAUACCCAAUAUUUAUUUCCAUACAACUUAGCUGGCUGACCAAUCUUAUAGAACUUACCUUUGACUUUGUUAGGAAUCUUAUGGUCGCAUAGUACACUUGUCACAUUCCUCUAUUUCAUCCAUUAUGUCAUCUAAAACUUCAUUCUUUUGUAUGAUAGAACUUAUAUGCAUGAAUUGAUUGCAUUUAGGUUUCAAAGUUCCAUCCAAACAAAUCUCACCUCCAUUCUAUCUACGAGAGCUAAAUCCCCACUGCAUUAUUCCAUCUUACUUCUAUUUUGAUUAGGAUCCUUGCUUUUAAGAGAUCUUCUUCACAACUUUAACUUUGAUUAAUUCCUUCACUAGUCUCAUCCAUUAAAACAAUAUUAUUUGCAAAUAUCAUGCACUAUGAGAUAUCAUCUUGAAUAUGAUUGAUCAGCUCGUCCAGAAUGAUGGUAAACAAGUAUAGACUGAAAGUUGAUCCUUGACGUAAACCCACCAUUAUGGAAAACUCACGUGUUCCUUCUCACUAUCCUUAAACCUGUGAUUUACCCCCCUCUUAGAUGUCCUUAAUAAUAUUUAUAGCUGAGAUUGACUAUUUAACUAAUAGUAGCUUCUCCCAAAAAAAAGAAAAAAUGAUUUGUCGGUA
rnacentral:misc_RNA from 1 species